rnacentral:lncRNA from 1 species
GGAAAAAGAAGCAGAGAAAAUCGGUGGAAAAUGAAACAGGAAGAAAGGAGGGAAAAAAAUAAAAAAUAAAAAAAUUGGUGGUGUCGGCCAACGACGCAUAGGAGGGAAGAUACACUUCUUCAAGUAUUGGGUUGUCUUUCAUAUCCUCAUUUCUUCUACAAUCUCAAGUGAGUAAGUUUUAUACAAACUUAGAUUUCUUAUUUUAGCUCAACAAGUGAAAAAUAUGCCCAAUUUCUUGAUGGUCUAGUAUGGAUAAACUAUUUUUUUUAAGCUUUUAAGUUAUGUGAAUCAAAUAUAUAUUAAUUCUGGGGUUCGAACUUUGUGGACGGAAAUUCAGCUAGUAGUUGGGUUAGAAUUGAAAUUUAAAUAAAGAAACCAAAAGGCAAGUGAGGAAUUGUCAAUUAAUGAUUUGAUUGGUACCUGUAUAUGUAUGUGUAUAGUGACUGAAAUUAUUAAAAAGGGAACAUACCUAAUUACAUAGCUUGAUGCAAGUGUGGGAAGUUGUAAACUGGUGAAGAAAGAGAUGAAAUAGUGUUUAAUUGGAAUUAAAUUUAGUUUAAAUGUGGUAAGUUCUUUAUUUAAUUAAUUUUAUUAUUACAGUAGCAAUGAAAAGGGACAAGAUGAAGAGUGUAGAUACAAGAUGUUGGAAGGCAGUAUGUUAUUGUGCUAAUGUAGUAGGGAAAUGAAUGUGGAAGAAGAACAUAUUCUGUAAAUAAAUCGGGCUUCGUAAACAAAAAAAUGUUAUGCUGUAUGGAUAUUAAAAAGGGAAUAAAGGGGUUGCGUAAGGAAUGAAUUAAGUUGUGUAAAGCGGUUAUAUAUUUAUAAGGUAGUGAUUUUAAGAAAGUAUAGUAAUUUAAUGGAUUUGAUUCUGUGUUGUGAUAGUUUGGCAAAUAAUCAAAGAGGAAAAGAGUUGGAGAAAUAGAGGUGAAGGUAGUGACGUGCAAGCUUGGAAAUGCUCGUCAAUUUAAUCAAAUUUCUAUCCAUAAAUCGGUGAGUGGAAAAAUAUAAAUAUUUUUAAAAUAUUUAUAAAUUAAGUAUAUUGUCAAAGUAUGUGCAAUUAUGUGUUCGAAUUAUAUGGUUAUUAUGGAAAUCUAUUUUAUUAUGAUACAUGUGAAAUAUAAAAGAUUAUUUAUGGUAUAUUUGUGACUUGC